rnacentral:snoRNA from 1 species
AUCUUUUUAUUUAAGCUCUGUGCUAAAAUUGCAUAAACUACUAUCAUGUCUUUAUAUUUCUAAUAAAGCUAACAGGAGAAAAAAAAACAAAAACCAAAAAACAACUGUACCAGAUAAAACAAAACUGAGAUGGGGCCAGUGAGUGGCACGGAGGUUAAGGUAAUGGCCCGCACAUGGCCCACUAGAC